CUCCCCGGCAAUGGACAAAGAGACACCUUGUUGAUGGUAUUGUUCUUAUAUCAGUCAGGGGCAGAGCAGAUGGCAGUCUUUUGUUUAUCCUAGCUUUAUGCCUGUCUUGGUGGCUAAAGUUGUCUUCACUGUGCAUAAUU